UAAGAUGUUCCAAGUUCCUUGUAG
rnacentral:piRNA from 1 species